GGUUUCCGGCAUUUGGCUGGGCCUUUGUCUCUCGCUCCCACCAGAGCUUGGAAUCCGUCUCUGCUCUUCUGCAUUCUCCACCUCGGGAGCCCCUGGGGACUCUGUGACGGCCUCUGUUGCCCUGUGAUCUGCAGGUCCGGAGAGACGCACAGCUAAGAUGUCAGGACAUCCUGGAAGCUGGGAAAGGGUCUUGCCAUCUCUAAGCUGGACCUGGUGACCUUUUUGGAGGGAAAGAAAGAGCCCUGGACUGUGAAGAGUGAGGAGACCAUAGCUGCACAGCCAGAGAUGGGGUUCCAUCAUGUUUUCCAGGCUGAUCUCAAACUCCCACGGUCAAGCGAUCUGCUGGCCUCGGCCUCUCAAGUCCAGAUGUAUAAUCUCAUCCCUGAACAUUUCUGAUGGUGUGAUUAUGACAUGUGACUUUAUCUGGCAACAGAGUGAGUUGUUGCUCCCGCCUGAGCCCAGCCCCCAGAAAGGAUUGUGACAUAUCGUUGGACCCAGAAUUGAGAAGGCAUUGAGACAUGGCUGGGCUCAGCACUAAGAAGAUGUGAGUCCUCUGCCUGAAGCCUGACCACAGGGAGCAUUGUGACACAUUUCUUGACCCAUUACAAUCUCUUCUACGGGCAAAGCUGAGGUGGAAUUGUGACAUAUAACUUGGCCAAGCACACAGAUGUAAUGGUGUGGUGACUCUCAUACCUAGAACUGGGACCUGUGCAGGAUUGUUAAUUCAUUACUGGACAUUCCUGUGGGUGUGAUUGUUACAUAUGCCUAUGUUCAGCACCCGAGUGAUUUGAUUUUGCUGCCUGGUCUCAGUCCAAAUGUAAGAUUGUGAUUUAUCGCUGAAUCCAGCACCUCGGUGAUUUGACUCUCCCUUUUUUUGUGGGAGGGAUCCUGCAAAUUUUGGGUAUUGUCAAUUAUUGCUGAAUCCUGUACCCAUGUUAUGACUCUCCCAAAUGUGCCUUACCUGUUGUGGCACAAUAUAUCACAUUAGACAUUGUUAAAUAUUGUUGGGUUCAACACCUGGGUGAUGGAUGUAACUUUUUUUCUGGGCCUGCCUACAGGGGACCUUGUGACAUAACUCAAUGCCCAUCAUCAUGGUAAUGUUACUCUCUUCUCCUGCCUGAUCUCUGCUCACAGAGAAAUUGUGACACAUCACUGGCCUAGCAUCUAGGUGAUGUGACUCUCCUCUUUUUUUCAGGCUCUGCAUAUUUGGGUAUUGUGACAUAUUGCUGAACUCAACACCUAAGGGAUGGGAGUCUCCUACCUAGGCCCUUCCUACAGGGGACAUUGUGACAUGUCUCUGCAUUCCUCAUCCAGGAGAUGUGACUCUCCUUUUCUGCCUACACCCUGCCUACACAGAAAGUUGUGGCAUAUUGCUGUGGUCAGCAACCAGAUGAUAUAUUUCUCCUGCCUGGGUCUUUAUUACAGGAAAGAUGAUUGACAUAUUACUGGGCCCAGCAUCCAGAUGAUGUGACUCUCUUCUUCUGUUGGUCCUUGCUUACAGGGAAACUGUAGCAUAUUGCUACACCCAACACCUAGCUUAUGUGAUUCUUCUUUUAGGUUUGCCUUCAGGGAACAUUGUGACAUAUUGCUGGGCCCUGCACUGAUAAUUUGUGACUCUUCUGCCUGUGAUUUGCCCACUUGGGGCAUUGUGACAUAUUGCUGGGUUUAACACUCAGGUGAUGUAACUUUUAUGCCUAGGCCUUGCUUACAGGAGGCAUUUUGAAAUGUCUUUGUGGCUGGGCAUGGUGGCUCAUGUCUGUAAUCCCAGCGCUUGGGGAGGCCAAGGUGGGCAGAUCACAAAGUCAGGAGUUCGAGACCAGCCUGGUCAACAUGGUGAAAACCUGUCUCUACUAAAACAAAACAAAACAAAACAAAACAAAACAAAA
ensembl:lncRNA novel transcript